rnacentral:rRNA from 1 species
UACAGAGGUCUCAAGCGUUGUUCGGAUUCAUUGGGCGUAAAGGGCGCGUAGGCGGAUCGUUAAGUCGGGGGUGAAAUCCUGGAGCUCAACUCCAGAACUGCCUUCGAUACUGGCGAUCUUGAGUCCGGAAGAGGUGAGUGGAACUCCUAGUGUAGAGGUGGAAUUCGUAGAUAUUAGGAAGAACACCAGUGGCGAAGGCGGCUCACUGGUCCGGUACUGACGCUGAGGUGCGAAAGCGUGGGGAGCAAACAGG